rnacentral:tRNA from 1 species
GGUAUAAUGGCUGAUAAAAGCGAUAAAUUGUAAAUUUAUGAAUGAAACGAGAAGUUUCUUAUACCA